rnacentral:lncRNA from 1 species
UUUUAGAUAAAUCCAGAUUAUGAUGUCCCAUGUAUUGAAAGAACGUCCAAUUGGGUCAAAAGAAACACUUUGUAUAACGACGGCGAGAUUUUAUUAGACAGGGUACAGAAAUGCAGCGAGGAAUUGAAAUAUUCGCUGACUAACAAUAUAAGCUUCUUGGCUGAUAACGUUGAUAAACAGAAUGAAAGACUUCGAACUUCCGAGGGCCAAACUAAAUGUGAAAUUUCUUUGGAAUACAUGAAGUGUAUGGCCAAUCCUUCAAAAAUUACUGAGUGCCCAGUUUUUCAGUUUCCUUAAGUGAAAAUAAAAAAUGAAUGCAUGAUAUUGUUAGUUGUACUUAAUAAAACUUAAAUUUUUGUUUAAA